GCGCGCUGGGCCGUGUCCGCGCGGACGGGCGGGCCCCACGCCUGCAAAGCAGGCUGUCGUGAGGCUGAAAUGAUGGCGUGGGACCGGAGCCCGGCACAUCCCGGGGCGGUAGGGCGCUCGCCUGGGUCACGGGCAGCUUGUUAAGUUUGAGUUCAAGCUGUUACGGUCUGAUCAUUACUCAGACCGGAGAAAUCUGAGUAUGACUUAAGUUUAGGUGGAAGAGGCGGCUCAGCGGUGAAGAGCGCGUACUGGGAACUCAGGUUCCCAGCCCCCGUGAGGUAGCUCGCAACCAUUUCCAGAGGAUCCGACACCCUCCUCUGACCCCCGCGGACUCCAGGCAAAACACACAUCAAAAUACAUCUUUUUUUUUUUUUUUUUUUUUUUUUUUAAUUGAUGGGAUUCAAAAAUGUUUUGUGUUUGUCCGUGCCAGAGUCUCACGGUUUAACAUCCCUCGCUGGCGACGUAGCUCAAGGAAAACCUGUACUUUUUGUGAGCCUCCUGGAUGCUGGCUGCGCAUGUGUCACCACGCUCAGGGAGGUAUCACCCCCUGUCUCGAGUAGCCCAGACUAGUCUUGAACUCCUGAUCCUCCUGCCUCCAGCUCACCUCCUGAAUGCUAGCCAAGCGUUCUACCAGUGACAACUGGACGGCUCUGGACUGGUGGUGCUGGAGCAGGCUGAAGCCUCCUGGGUCGGUCAGGCGGUAAGCAGGACAAAGGACAGCCCUAGGGGCCUUGUUCUUGCAGAGGAACCCCAGGGGGCAGGUACGAGGUGCCCAGGGAACUUAGGCCUACUGGCUACUUCCUGCCUGGCAAGGAUGUUGUGUGUUACUUUGUCUGAGCCUAGAUUUCCUCUGCCCCUUCUAGAGACAAGGGCAGGAGGGCAAACGGAGAUACCACGGAGAAGCUCUUUCCUCGGACACUACCCCCUGACUGGGCAGGGUCAGGCAGAGGGAGAGAAUCAAAGAAGCCCCGCAGUCCAGAGGUUCCAGGGACAGGCGCUCUCACCUUCAGCAAAGAGACCGGACACCCUAGGCUUCAGUCAGCCCUCCAAGGAUGUCGGAGCACGCACAGGAUCUUAGAGGCUGGGCCCCUUAACACCCAACUUAAGUUCACCGUCCAGACUUUCACAAUUGACCUCUUUCCUCCAGACUUCUACUCCCGCCUCCCGAGCGCUAUGAGUAACAGCCAUGCGCCACAAUGCCCAGCUGUUAUACAUCCAGAUGUCUAGGAAGGGUAGUUCCUGUGUGCAAAGAGCCAGGGUCUCAGGGCCUGGCCUCACUCCUAGGACAGAAACCCCGACAAGCUAGGCAGGGCAGGGGCGCAGCCCGAGGCCCUGAGCAACGUGGUGACCAGCCUUCUGUGAAGGAACGUGGUUGGCUACUGUGUCUCUUCGACAGCUCUGUGCUGGCAGCUGCUCCAAAGCUGCAUUUAUUUAAUAGCUAUAAUUUUAAAUUUUAUGUGUGCGUCUUAAUUUUCAUUGCUGUGAUGAAACACCACAAUCAAAAAGCAAACUGGGGAGGAAGGAGUUUAGUUGGCUUACUGUACUGUUUAUCAAAGGAAGUCAGGAUAGGACCUCAAACACGUGGGGCAUGUGGACCACGCCACCAGGGGAACUGGCAUAGAAGGAGAAUGGGGUGGAGCGUGUCCAAACCCUGGAAAUCUCAGCCUUGAGAUCGGCAGUUCUGAGCCUGCAUGCCCUGGCACACAGGGCCCCGACCCCCUACCUCUGCAAGUCUCAAGGUCACCAGGUAGCCUGGCAGCUGGAAUUCCUUUCCGUGCAAACAGAGCGUCGGCCGCAUCCCAGCUCCAACCAAUGGCAUGUGCUCGGGAUCUCGUCCCCCUCCCUCAAGGCUCUAUAUACCCCUUACCCACUCAGAAUAAACAAGCUAUUUCAUCGACUGUCCUCUGAGAGUGGCUGCGUCUGACGGUACCACCUGAAGAGCUGCUUCGAAGAGGGCUUUCUCCUGGCAUUCACCGCUGGACGUGGGUGCGGCACUGCUCACCGGGCUCGGCUUUGUUCCUCCAGUACCCGGAUGCCCGGAAGCGAGGAAGAGGACUGGGCUACUAUGGCCCAUAAGAGCUGUAACACUGAAAACUUCAGGGAAGGGCUUCUUCCCUCCGGACUGGAGAGCUGUAACGGAGAACUUUUGGAGAAAGGACUUCUCCCCUGGGCAUUAUCUUCCACCCCAGGAUCCUGUGGACCCCAGCUGUUCGUGUUCUGCUUCCUCCUUUCCAGCCCAAUGUGCAGCGGCACCUGGAAACCCCCGAGGAAGAAGCAGGAUGAGGAACCACAAAACAGGGCAGAGGCCCGGAGGCAGGAGCCGAGGCAGAGGCCCUGGAGGGUGCUGCUUACUGGCUUACUCCUCACCGCUAUUCAGCAGCCUGCUUUCUUAUAGAACCCAGAACACCAGCCCAGGGAUGGCACUGCUCACAGUGGGCGGGGCCUCCCCCAUCAAUCACUAAUUAAGAAAGUGCCCUGCACCAUUGUAGGCAGCCUGAUUUUAUGGAGGCAUUUUCUCAAUUGAGGUUUCCUCCUCUCAAAUGACAUUAGCUUGUGUCAAGUUGGCACAAAACCAA